rnacentral:misc_RNA from 1 species
CAGAGUUGCAAAACUCCCCAAACCAUUGUGAACCUUACCUUCAACCGUUGCUUCGGCGGGCGGGCCACAGCGCCCCCCGGGCCCCCCCAGCGGGGCGCCCGCCGGAGGAUACCCAAACUCUUGAUACUUUAUGGCCUCUCUGAGUCUUCUGUACUGAAUAAGUCA